CAUGACAACUCAAGAAACUAAACAACACAAUGAAUAACUCAAAUUAGAGAGAAACAAGAUACUUAGCUCAAGCGGACGCAGCUCGAACCUAGGCUCUGAAUACCACAUGAUAGAUCCGCUCCGGCGAGGAACCAUAGAUCUGGUGUGGAUUGAGGUGAUGAUCCGAACAGGAGACAUAGCGGAAGACGGAAAUCGGAGAUAACCCUAGGUUUUGAAGGUUUGAUCGGUGGAGAUUCUAGGGUUUUGAUGCAGAAGAGGGUUUAAUCGGUGGAUGAGUCAAAUAACCGAUGGAAAGAAGAGAUUGAUCGGAGGAAAAACUUUUAAACGAAGCAAAGGAAAAUUUAAACGGUGGAAGUGUCUACAAUCCAAUUUCAAUCGGUAAAAGAGAUUGUAGGUGAGAUUCUAAUCGGUGGAUUGGUGAUAAACCUGAUGGAAGAGGUUGUCUUGGGAUUGGAUUCGUGAUGGAGUUGAGAUUUGAUGAAGGCAAAGCCAACAAUGCAGGCCGUCGGGGAGAGAGAAAGAAAAUAGGGUUGGGCGUGAAAUGAGGAAAUGAAAAUGAAGUAGCGAGACGUGAAGCUGCUGAUUGGUGAGGAAUGCUUUGGUGGAGGAGUGAGAAAUUCUGAUGUGGAAAAUGAGAGAAAUGGAUGUGAGAUGGAAGGUAGCUAGAGGAGAUCCUUUAGGAUUCUCUAGCCUUGACUUUCAAGGUAGAAUUCCUCUGGAGUUUUAUCAACAAAUAAACAAUUAAAUUAUCUCAAAAGUGAUUACAAGAAGUGUUGGCAUGUCUAUAUAUAGGACCAAAAGUCCCACAUGCCUAACACAUUUUACACAUGCCUAAUAAAAAUAAACGAAAUGCUAAACUAAGAAAAAUACGCUUGGGCCCAAGUCAUCAUUAGCUAAACCAGUGCUUCCGUUA
rnacentral:lncRNA from 1 species